UCAGGACGAACGCUGGCGGCGUGCUUAACACAUGCAAGUCGAACGAUGAAGCCCUUCGGGGUGGAUUAGUGGCGAACGGGUGAGUAACACGUGGGCAAUCUGCCCUUCACUCUGGGACAAGCCCUGGAAACGGGGUCUAAUACCGGAUACCACCUCCCGAGGCAUCUUGGGGGGUUGAAAGCUCCGGCGGUGAAGGAUGAGCCCGCGGCCUAUCAGCUUGUUGGUGGGGUGAUGGCCUACCAAGGCGACGACGGGUAGCCGGCCUGAGAGGGCGACCGGCCACACUGGGACUGAGACACGGCCCAGACUCCUACGGGAGGCAGCAGUGGGGAAUAUUGCACAAUGGGCGAAAGCCUGAUGCAGCGACGCCGCGUGAGGGAUGACGGCCUUCGGGUUGUAAACCUCUUUCAGCAGGGAAGAAGCGCAAGUGACGGUACCUGCAGAAGAAGCGCCGGCUAACUACGUGCCAGCAGCCGCGGUAAUACGUAGGGCGCAAGCGUUGUCCGGAAUUAUUGGGCGUAAAGAGCUCGUAGGCGGCUUGUCACGUCGGAUGUGAAAGCCCGGGGCUUAACCCCGGGUCUGCAUUCGAUACGGGCUAGCUAGAGUGUGGUAGGGGAGAUCGGAAUUCCUGGUGUAGCGGUGAAAUGCGCAGAUAUCAGGAGGAACACCGGUGGCGAAGGCGGAUCUCUGGGCCAUUACUGAC
rnacentral:rRNA from 1 species